CUUUUCUCCCCUUGCCAGAGAUGCAGCCCCACAGUCCCUGGUGAUCUUGGCUGGGAGAAAAAUCAGAGUUUGACAUCUCAUCCCACUGCCUUCUGCUUUCUGACCUUACUGAGGUCAGGGUCAUCAAGGCCUGGGGGACUGGGACAGGGUUAAGGGGUGUCCUUUCUCCAUCCGUCUUCCAACCCCGUGGAGACUCAGCAUGCCUAGGAAGGUGGAAGGGCUUCCUGCGGGCACACCAUCUCCCGCCUCCCUGUGCCUGUCCUCUGCUGGGUCCUGGGUUCUCCAGUGAUUAUAGCCCUUGCUGCUUCCCCCACAGUGGGGAACACAGAGCCCUGCCCAGAGGCUUGAACCUGGCACCACAGGGGUCUGGAAUUACACAGAAGACGGGUGACAGCCAAGGUGGAUCAUGAACGGUGGACUUCAGGGCUCCACUCUGCCACUGUCAACAUACAGUCCCUCCAGAGAAGUACCCCUCAUGUUACAAAUGGGGCACGUUCACCAGACUCAGCUUCAGGACAAGACCCCAGGUCAUUCCCAACUGAGGCUCCGAGGUGCAGGAGCUCCGUCCUGUCUGUAAAACUCCCUCAGUUUUCGGCUCUGGGUUUGGUGGGGGUUGUUCCUCCCACCUCCAACCUAGAAAGAGAAGCCAGAGGAAGGGAGGUCACAUGGUCUGCCCCCCAACCUCUCAGCAGAGAUGCAAAGCUACCUGUCCAGGAUGGCGGACUCCAGAUGGGCCCCGCCCUGUGGUGCAGAAGUGAGAUUUGCUGCUCCUCCUGCGUCUGCCCCUCUCCUGCCCUCCUCUCCCUCCCCUAUCUGGCUGUCAUGGUAGAAGCCACUGCUGGCCAGGCCACUGAAGUACUAAGUGGCCCAAGUGUUGAGGAAGGAUGGGGACUGGGUCCUGAGGGCCCAUCCGACCUCCAGUUGAGAGCCCCUCCCCUGACCUCCAGCUGCCCGGCCACCCCAGCCGGUCCCUGGGAACUGAGGUGGCAGCUGAGCUCCCCAUUAUCUUUCCCCACAGCUCCCCACCUGUGGAGGGAGAGGUUGAGAUAUUGGAGUCCACGGGUGGUGCCCCCACUCAGUGAUUCCCUUUGCCUGCUGAGCCCCUGGAGCUGGGGUUUCUUCCUCCCUUGCCUUGGCUGGCCACCUGGCUUCUGGGACCGCCACCUGGGGCACCCUUCUGCUUUAAGGCCCAAUAUGGGAGGGGUCGUCCCUACCAGCCCCUCCCUUGUGCCCAUUCCACUCCCGCCUGGCUGCCGUCUCCAGCUGGUCCCGGCUGCCUGCCCGGUCACCCGAUCCGCCCUCUAA
rnacentral:lncRNA from 1 species